UACGUAGGGCGCAAGCGUUAUCCGGAAUUAUUGGGCGUAAAGAGCUCGUAGGCGGUUUGUCGCGUCUGCCCGUGAAAGUCCGGGGCUCAACUCCGGAUCUGCGGUGGGGUACGGGCAGACUAGAGUGAUGUAGGGGAGACUGGAAUUCCUGGUGUAGCGGUGAAAUGCGCAGAUAUCAGGAGGAACACCGAUGGCGAAGGCAGGUCUCUGGGCAUUAACUGACGCUGAGGAGCGAAAGCAUGGGGAGCGAACAGG
rnacentral:rRNA from 1 species